AGUGGGAACGGGCUGAUAAAAACAACCUGCUAAUGAAAAAAAACCUUGGUUGGGGCACCAGCACAGGAGAACAGGGUUGGAGUGUUAGCACUGGGCUGAGGCAAGCACAGUGCCCAUAAAGGCCACAGGUCCCGAGAUCACAGAUGAGAACGACUUUGUAAUACGUUGGCUGUACAGCUGAGGUAUUCAGCCCGGAUUUAGGAGCUCUGAUCUGAAGUGGCAUCUCUGUCGAGGAAGAAAAAUUCUGCCGACCCUGACAUUUACAGUAGACAUUAUCUGCUCUGUGACAUUUGGUCUUAUAAACUGAAGCUGGCCAAAUUUCCAUCCGUGACUUACCCCGCUGCCAUAGCCAAGGUACUGACAUGAAUCGCCGACCCUUUUCUCCAAAUAGCAGAGCACCUGCCCCCCUUUCGAGGUACAUAGGCACAAGUGGCAUUGAUGAAGGGCUGAGCCCCAGGAACACACGGGCAGCGUGAUCAGAAAUUGUGGCAGAGCAGGGAACUGAAGGAGUGCCCUCUGUCCUAGUCUUGUGCCAUAAUGAUUUUUUGUGAUCCCGAGGCCAGGUGACAGCAGCGAUGCCACACUGCUGCCGCUGACAUCCAGGCACUUCUUGAAAUGGAGGAGAAUCAGGACGAAAUUCUCCUUAUUCAAGUCAGCUGAAGCAGUGGUAAUGGUGGUUUUGUGUCUGCAUUAGCCCUGGAGUGGAUGGACAGAAACAACAUAACCUUGCUGUAGGCUCUGCGGUUGGGUAAGUAAAGAUAAAUGGACAACCACAGAGCUGAUAAAUUAGAGGCUAAGGCAGGGACUGAGGAGCAGAGGGCUUGCCUGAAGUCCUCUCACCCACUUUGUCCCGGAGACUCCAAAUGGCAGCACUUGCUUCAGUUUCAUUUCUGAAGGAGGAUCAUGAAGAGGAUUUAUCACAAGCUAUGCCUGUCUUGCCAGUAAUUUUCAUUUGUACAGAGCUCUGCUUGCAGAACAAAGAUUGUGUAGUAGAUAUUACAGGCAGGGGACACCUUGUCUAGCCCACAGCCUGUCUGUCCGUGGCCAAGGAGCAGUGCCUGUGGAAAGCAUUAAAUGCACCUGGACAUAUUUUGUAAUUCACUGUUUGCAGCAGGUGUGGAUGAGGCACUAUGCUAACAAACCACUGCUGUUAGGGAACCAUUUGAGCCACCUGUGCCUUUAGUCCUGCUGAGAUCUGGAACUUGGUUCAGUCACUCCAGUGGAGUUUUGUGUCCUGCUUAACAUAGUCACAACUGAAUUUACCAUCUAACGUGGAGGACAGUGAUGCACAGCACAACUGUGUGACACACCAGGGCUGAAAAUACCAUUAGAAAACAGUUCUAGGGCCAGUGAGCCCAAUGUAACCUUUGCUCGUUUCAGUUUAGGGAGACUCUCUGAAGUGAAAGCAUCUUUGCUAUGCUGAAGGUCUAUGUAAAACACGUGUACUCCACGGUGCCCACAUCCCAGCCUCAUUUUCCUGAAAGGAGAAUGCAGACGGGCUACCUGUAGGUGUCAGUCUUGUACUAGAGAAUGGCCACGGUUAUUUUUUUUUUUUUUUAAAGAAAUCUCAUCUCAGACUUGUUCUACUUAGUAAGUAAAUAAAAUACAAAAUAGUGGACUACACUGGGAUAAACAAUUAACAGUGACCCUCACUGAAUUUUGUUAAACGGAUUUACCAUUACAUACACCCCACCCAGAAUUAAAGCUCUUAACCAUACUGAUGCCUUGUGACACAGAGGUGUGUUCAUAUUAGGGAGACUGGUUUACCAAACCUGACAGCCGUGCUAUUGCUACAGAUCUGUUAAAUGGCAUCUCCCCUGUAAUGAUCUCCAUUUUAAGAGUUUGUGGAAAGCCUGUAGAUUAGCUCUUCCAGUCAUCUUACUCAAGGGGUUAUAUUUGUUUCCGGACUGUGAGGUUCAAUGAUUUCCAACCUACUGCAGUGGUAGAAGAGAUGAGCAAAAUCACUGUCAUAAAAAUUCAGAAUAUAGUUUUAUAUUCUGAAUAUAUUCUGAAAAAAUAUAUUUAUAUAUAGUCAUGUUACUUGAAUUAUGCGGUGUCCUUCCAGAGCAGAGGCCUCUGUGCACAAGUUCCUCAAUGUACCCAUGAAAUCACAGAUCUGACCCAAAUGCAGUGUUGUACUCUCUUCAUGAAUUGCAGGGGGCAGUAGCUGAUGUUGGUAAGUAUUGAAAAAAUGUAUGCAGUGCUUGAAAAACAGACUAACCAAUAAAAAAA